rnacentral:rRNA from 1 species
GACGAACGCUGGCGGCGUGCUUAACACAUGCAAGUUGAACGGAAAGGCCCUGCUUGCAGGGUACUCGAGUGGCGAACGGGUGAGUAACACGUGGGUGAUCUGCCCUGCACUUCGGGAUAAGCUUGGGAAACUGGGUCUAAUACCGGAUAGGAGCCAUCUUUAGUGUGGUGGUUGGAAAGUUUUUUCGGUGUAGGAUGAGCUCGCGGCCUAUCAGCUUGUUGGUGGGGUAAUGGCCUACCAAGGCGGCGACGGGUAGCCGGCCUGAGAGGGUGUACGGCCACAUUGGGACUGAGAUACGGCCCAGACUCCUACGGGAGGCAGCAGUGGGGAAUAUUGCACAAUGGGCGCAAGCCUGAUGCAGCGACGCCGCGUGGGGGAUGAAGGCCUUCGGGUUGUAAACUCCUUUCGCUAGGGACGAAGCUUUUUUGUGACGGUACCUAGAUAAGAAGCACCGGCUAACUACGUG